rnacentral:tRNA from 1 species
CGGCGUAGCUCAAUUGGUAGAGCAACUGAUUUGUAAUCAGUAGGUUGCGGGUUCAAGUCCCAUCGCCG